GGGGAUUUGACUCAGUGGUAGAGUGCUUGCCUAGCAAGCACAAGGCCCUGGGUUCAGUCCCCAGCUCCG
rnacentral:tRNA from 1 species